rnacentral:tRNA from 1 species
GCCUUCCUGGUGUAGUGGUCAGCACACUCGACGCAUAAACCAGAGGUCCAUGGUUCAAUUCCCGGCGAAGGCU